rnacentral:rRNA from 1 species
UACGUAGGAGGCGAGCGUUGUCCGGAGUUACUGGGCGUAAAGGGUGCGCAGGCGGCGGUUCGCGUGGAUAGGUGAAAUCUCCUGGCUUACCUGGGAGGAUGGUAUCCAGACGGGAUCGCUUGAGGGUCGGAGAGGGGCGUGGAAUUCCGGGUGGAGCGGUGAAAUGCGUAGAGAUCCGGAGGAACACCGACGGCGUAGGCAGCGCCCUGGACGACACCUGACGCUGAGGCACGAAAGCUAGGGGAGCGAAAGGG